UGUCUUCAGGGCGGGGUGUGAUUCCCCACCGGCGGUGAUGCGGCAGAUUUGCCGACAAGCCCGCGAGCGAAAGUUGAGGCGGUGAGAUUCCGCGGCCGACGGUAUAGUCCGGAUGAAAGAAGA
rnacentral:ncRNA from 1 species